CAAGAGAGAACAGCAGAAGAACCAGACAGUCAACAGCUAGAGGAGUUUUUCUGUAAACAGCAAGAGAAGACUGGAGGAGCUGCAGGUACACCAAGCCAGAAAACUGAAGAGGGAGCAUUCUACACUUUCUCCAUCUGCUGAGUACAUGCUCUACUUUUGUGUUUCAAAGAGUCCACAAUGGCAAUCUUCAGUAUGCAACUGUAGCUGAGAAUGUGCCAAACCACACACAAGGCAAAUAGCCAACUUAGCAACCAAGGUCUAACACAGGACCUGGCACACAGGAAUUACUGAAAAAAUAUCUGGACUACAGAGAUCUCUACUAAUAUGCCAAGCACAUUCAAAUCUGGCAAGAGGGGGAGGGGGAAGUAAAAAGAAGAAAAUUUCAAAUGGUAGAAUGAACUUUUAUGUUCAUAUAAAUUUAUUUCACACCAUAAAUUGGCUCCAUAGGCAAUAUUAUUUCCAAACUAGUAGCAUUUUUAAAG